rnacentral:tRNA from 1 species
GCCGGGGUAGCUCAGCUUGGUAGAGCACGGGGCUGUUAACCCCGAGGUCGCGGGUUCGAAUCCCGCCCCCGGCGCCA